rnacentral:rRNA from 1 species
CUUGGUCAUUUAGAGGAAGUAAAAGUCGUAACAAGGUUUCCGUAGGUGAACCUGCGGAAGGAUCAUUACCGAAUCGUCAAACACGGGUUGUUGCUGGCCCCUGAACGGGGGCACGUGCACGCUCUGUUUACGCAUCCACUCACACCUGUGCACCCUCGGUAGUUCUAUGGUUCGGGAGACCCUGUCUUCCUUCCGUGGCUCUACGUCUUUACACACACACGACGUCUCAUGGAAUGUUUUUCGCGUUUAACGCAAUACAAUACAACUUUCAACAACGGAUCUCUUGGCUCUCGCAUCGAUGAAGAACGCAGCGAAAUGCGAUACGUAAUGUGAAUUGCAGAAUUCAGUGAAUCAUCGAAUCUUUGAACGCACCUUGCGCCCCUUGGUAUUCCGAGGGGUGCACCCGUUUGAGUGUCGUGAACACCCUCAACCUUCUUGGUUUAUCGACCGGGAAGGCUUGGACUUUGGAGGUUUUUGUUGCUGGCCUCGUUUGAAGCCAGCUCCUCCUAAACGAAUUAGUGGGGUCCGCCGUGCCGACCCUCGACGUGAUAAGUACGCUUCUACGUCUUGGGGUUUCGCACUGUCGCCUGCUUCCAACCGUCUUCGAAUGGAGACAAUCUUAUAGACCUUGACCUCAAAUCGGGUGAGACUACCCGCUGAACUUAAGCAUAUCAAUAAGCGGAGA